rnacentral:rRNA from 1 species
UGAGGAAUAUUGGUCAAUGGACGAGAGUCUGAACCAGCCAAGUAGCGUGAAGGAUGACUGCUCUAUGGGUUGUAAACUUCUUUUAUACGGGAAUAAAGUGAGGCACGUGUGCCUUUUUGUAUGUACCGUAUGAAUAAGGAUCGGCUAACUCCGUGCCAGCAGCCGCGGUAAUACGGAGGAUCCGAGCGUUAUCCGGAUUUAUUGGGUUUAAAGGGAGCGUAGGCGGACGCUUAAGUCAGUUGUGAAAGUUUGCGGCUCAACCGUAAAAUUGCAGUUGAUACUGGGUGUCUUGAGUACAGUAGAGGCAGGCGGAAUUCGUGGUGUAGCGGUGAAAUGCUUAGAUAUCACGAAGAACUCCGAUUGCGAAGGCAGCUUGCUGGACUGUAACUGACGCUGAUGCUCGAAAGUGUGGGUAUCAAACAGGAUUAGAUACCCUGGUAGUCCACACAGUAAACGAUGAAUACUCGCUGUUUGCGAUAUACAGUAAGCGGCCAAGCGAAAGCGUUAAGUAUUCCACCUGGGGAGUACGCCGGCAACGGUGAAACUCAAAGGAAUUGACGGGGGCCCGCACAAGCGGAGGAACAUGUGGUUUAAUUCGAUGAUACGCGAGGAACCUUACCCGGGCUUGAAUUGCAACUGAAUGAUGUGGAGACAUGUCAGCCGCAAGGCAGUUGUGAAGGUGCUGCAUGGUUGUCGUCAGCUCGUGCCGUGAGGUGUCGGCUUAAGUGCCAUAACGAGCGCAACCCUUAUCGAUAGUUACCAUCAGGUUAUGUUGGGGACUCUGUCGAGACUGCCGUCGUAAGAUGUGAGGAAGGUGGGGAUGACGUCAAAUCAGCACGGCCCUUACGUCCGGGGCUACACACGUGUUACAAUGGGGGGUACAGAAGGCAGCUACACGGCGACGUGAUGCUAAUCCCGAAAGCCUCUCUCAGUUCGGAUUGGAGUCUGCAACCCGACUCCAUGAAGCUGGAUUCGCUAGUAAUCGCGCAUCAGCCACGGCGCGGUGAAUACGUUCCC